ensembl:lncRNA
AGAGGAUUGAUACAAAGAUAAAAAAAAGAUUUUAUGAUGCAAAUUCAAAUCAUGACAUGCUAUGAAAGAAAGCAGAACAAUGGAAUGUGAGAAUUGUUAUGGGUAAACUAAUAAGAAAUGGAGACAUCAGUAAAAAUUAUUUUCAGAAGGUUACAUUCGUCUUAAGACCUGAAUGGUAAGAAGGAACCAACCACAAGAUCCAGAAGAGACAACUAGUAAAGGGAACAGCAAGUUCAAACACCUGGAAGGAAGGAUAAGCCAAAGUAUCUGAGUGAGAAGACCAGUCUUAUAGUUAAUAGACAGUGUGGCAUACCUGGGGAGCUGUAAGCUGGAAUGUUUGAGUAGAAUCACAGAAUGCCAGAGGACCCUCUAUGAUCUGGUCUUUGGUUCCCACUGCAACUUCACCUCUACCACUCCUUGCAAGAGCCCCAAACUCCAGACACACAGUUGUUUUAAUUUGCCUAGAAAACUACAUUCUCUCUUGCCUUCACUCGGGCUUUUUCUACUGACUUAAAUGCACCUCCUUUGCCCAGCUCAGGGGUAAGAAAUCCUUUUCCCUCCCUGGCUACAUAAGGAAGCAGUUCAGCAUAGUAUUCUGUGCAUGAAUAACCCUCCUGGUGAAUUGCAUUUCCCCUGAAGGCAAGGCCUGUGUAACUUGCACUUGUGUCCCUAGAAUUUGGCAAAGGACUGACGCAAAGUGUGUGUAUCUGCUAAUUGGUGCUAAUUCCUUGUCUCUCUCUUCUAUGGCUCUUCUUCCUCUUCCUCAUCUGGGUUAUGAGUCUGAUAUCACAGUCCUUCCUAUAGAUAUCCAAGGGACCGCUUUAUUUUUCCUACCUCUCUGAUCAUAGCAACAUUUUAUCAGACAUUCUCAAAGUGUAUCUCCACACAUAUGAUGUUUUGAGAAUUCUGUGUACAUAUUAUAGGAUUUGACUUCUUCAGAAUUUUUGGCAGGUCUUAUUUUUUAUAUUUAUUUUCUCUUUCUUGUAUUUUGCAUUUUCAGGGAGUGGGAAGAAAACUACUUUCUUUGCAUUAACAUGAAUUAUAUACCGGCCCAUUGGUUCAAUCUUCACCUGUUACAUUAUAGAAUGCCCAAAGCACUGUUCAGAGGUAGUUAUUUUACAGAUGAGAACCUGAGAUUCAAACAAAUAAAAAAGCUGAAUUACAGCUUGAACUCAGGUCAGUCUAACUGCCUCCCUCAAAAAAAUAACAAGAAGCUAUGUCAGAAAAUCUCUUCAUAAUGCAUAAAUUCUUUGAAUUUAUUCAUGAGUGUAUUGAAUUCAUAAUUCACAAAUUAAUUUUUACUUCAGUAUGUAUAAAAUGAGAACAUUAACACAAAUAAUAAAAACAAUCUUAAUGUAAACACAUCUAAGAUAAAAUCAUUGAGAAACUGUGGAGACUUCUAAAAGAAUAUAAUUGAUAUUAUAUAAAGGCAAGCUAUUAUUCCCGUCUCAUAUUAUAACCAUGAGUAAAAUGCCAAACUGAGCAACAUACAAUUGCAAAUCAAAAGAAUAUUUUUCUUUUUCCACGACUCACAAUAAAAAGUAAAAAUUAGUAUAAAUAUCACUUAUAAUGAUGAAUGCUUAGGGAUUCUUUUUCACACAUGGAAGGAGCAUAUAUCUUGAUAAAUGUCUAGAAUUAUGUUGCACUUGAGAAAUACUUAUUCCAGAAGGAAGGAAAGAGGGAAGGAAGAAAGGUAGGAAAGGGGGAGAAGAGAAAGAGAAUAAGAAAGUUUCAAAUUGUCACCAGCCUUUGAUCCUAAGUAACACUGUACAGGGAGCAUCUUCCAAUUUGUUUUAUUCAGAUCCUCCUCUAAUUACACAUGUGAGCUAUUCAAGAAUGGAUUUUUUAGAUGGCAAAAUGCAUUUAAAUUAUACAAGUCUAUAAAAAUAUUGAAUCAUUGUGUUUUAUACCUGAAGAUAAUAUAAAUCAACUCUACUUCAAUUUAAAAAAAAAAAACUUUUUUAAAGACAAAGAAAAAAAACACUGAAUCUUUUUGAAGUACCUAAUAAAUCUGAGCAGCUGUCCUAUAAGGUAUAGUGCCUGCCCUCAAGAAACUUAUGGUAUGAUGAAAGAUAGCUCAAAUGGAGCCGAAUGUGACUUAAAUAUUCUAUAUGCAACUUUGAACAGUGAGGCCACUCAAGAUGGCUGUUCUCUUGCUCACUGUAAGUCCAUGCUCUACCAGUGCCGGCUUCCCCUAUACCCCACUCACAGGGCUGACCUUCCUGCAUACUUGCCCCAGGCCCCAACUAGUAAUGGUUCUUAUGGAAGAGGUGGUGAGGGGCAUGCUUGUCUGCUGGCUUCCUUGGUAACUAAUGAGCCAAGCUGAUGUGAUUCCCCCUAUAGGUGGCAACCUCCCCUUUCCCCUCGAGCUGGGUGAAGCCUGUGGUCAUGUCCUGUGCACAUGGUGGGGGAUGUCACUGCAGAACUGGGCUUCAGACAUGUAAGUUCCCCCAUCCACGAGGUCUCUGUCGCUGACUCCAUGCUCUUUCUUGGGCCUUAAACCUGAACAAGUAUGGGGUUUGUAGGCCUGCAGAGUUUGUUCAUCUAUGUAGAACCAAUGAGGGUUCUUUUAUAGGGCCUAUUAUUCACUGAGGCUUUUGAGGUGCAAUAGUCAGCACUUAAUAUUAUAAAACUAAAUUGUCAUAAAGACAAUGUCUCAAGGCUAUUUGGAUUUUUUUUUUUUUCAAGGCCACACCCAUGGCAAUUGGAAGUUCCCAAGCUAGGGAUCAAAUCGGAGCCAUAGCUGCCAGCUUACACAACAGCCACAGCAAUGCCAGAUCCUUAACCCACUGAUCGAGGCCAGAUAUCAAACUUGCAUCCUCAUGGAUACUAGUCAGAUUCCUUACCACUGAGCCAGUAGGGGAACUCCUGGAGGUUUAUUGUCAGUUGUUAUCACAUUGUUUCUCUUCUCAGGCUAAAGAAUGUAAUACAUUGUAAUGAUCCCAAUCAAUUAAAUACAAACAAUUCAUGUAUAGAAAAAUCAGUGAGGAAACAAUCCAAAGUACUACCAGUUAUUUGUGGGUAUUAAGGCUUUUUUUGGUUUUUGCUUUUAGGGGUCAAAUCAGAGCUGCAGCUGCCAGCCUAUCCCAGAUCCGAGCCGUAUCUGCACCAUAGCUCAUUGGCAGCGCCAGAUCCUUAACCCAGUGAGCUAGGCCAGGGAUCAAACCUGCAUCCUCGUGGAUACUAGUCAAGUUCAUAAUGUGCUGAGCCAGAUAGGAACUCCCCACACAAUUUUUUUUUUUAAUUUUUCUCUGUGUUUUUAAUUUCAUAAUCAGAUUACAUCACAUCACAAAUAUGAUUUUAAUAAUAAAUAUCUGGCCUCCAAAAUAUAGCAUACUGACAACUUGGACUUUAGAGGAAGGCAAAAUUUUAAAUUAACUUUGUCCUUUUCAAUUCAUAGUUGUGUGAUCUUCAGCAGUUUUCAUUUCUGUCUCCUUUUCUUUGAAUUUUAAAUGGAGAAAGUAAUAUCUAGAAAAUGGUUUUUGCGAGGAUUGGGUUGUGUGGGUGAUGUGAUCAGAGAUAUUUAAUGGAAAUUAUUAGAAUUCUCCCACCCUUUGCCAUGAAAAGAAUAUGAAUUCUGAAGAGGAUUCUUUGGUUUUAUUGUUUAGUGUCACAAAGAUGCAAAUAAUUUAGAUUCCAAACAGCUUAGUUUUGAGAAGAAAAAGGACACCAAAAUCAAUUUAAAUUACUUAAUUAAAAAUACAUAUAGAAUGACAAAUUGGUUUAUUAUUUCAACUGGCCUAUAAAAUAGUUGCAUUCAAAGCUGUUUUCAAAAAUUAAUUUUUUUCUAAAAUGAAAAGUGUAAUUAUUUUUAAAAUAAGAAUUUUUAAAAUUUAUAUAAAAUAUGAAAAUAAACCAAAUUUUUAGAAACUUUUUAUAGUAAUUUUCUUAUGAAUAAAAUAUAAGCAGAAAAAUUAUUUGUAUACAUAUUCAUUCAGUUUAAUCAGUUUCUUGACUGUGCCCAUUUUUAAUACUGUUAUUGGUAUUUUCUUAAGAUUAUGUUUUUCCAUAUGGUAUAAUUAUUUUUUUUAUUUUUAAUUGCCCACAAUAUUUUUAAAAUUUGCAUUUUAGGAUUAAUAAAUUUGAUAUUCUUGUUUCUUCUCUGUUAAACAUAAAGUUUUAAUUGAGGAAAAAUUCUCCCUAUUGUACUUCAUCACCUAAUAAGCUCAGAAAAAUUCUGCUGAAUGUAGAAAAUUCUGUUGCUUUUUUAAUGUGUAAAUAUUUUAGCCCAAAUAUUUUAAUUUUUUUUCUUCAUUUAUAGUAUCUUUCUUCAACAAAUAUUCUUACAGGAUAAAAACCUGAGAAGUAAAUUGUCACUAUUUAUGAUUCUUUUGAAUGUUUCACAAAAUGUAUAUGAUGGAAAAUAAUAGUUCCCGUCGUGGUGCAGUGGUUAACGAAUCCGACUAGGAAUCCGACUAGGUCGCGGGUUCGAUCCCUGCCCUUGCUCAGUGGGUUAAUGAUCCGGCGUUGCCGUAAGCUGCGGUGUAGGUUGCAGACAUGGCUCAGAUCCCGUGUUGCUGUGGCUCUGGUGUAGGCUGGUUGCUAUGGCUCCAAUUAGACCCCUAGCCUGGGAACUUCCAUAUGCUGCCGGGAGAGGACCAAGAAAUGGC